UACGUAGGCAGCGAGCGUUGUUCGGAGUUACUGGGCGUAAAGAGUGCGUAGGCGGUGUUCUAAGUCUGUUGUGAAAUCUCCCGGCUUAACUGGGAGGGUGCGGCGGAAACUGGAACGCUUGAGUACGGGAGAGGUAAGCGGAAUUCCUGGUGUAGCGGUGAAAUGCGUAGAUAUCAGGAGGAACACCUGCGGUGUAGACGGCUUACUGGACCGUAACUGACGCUGAGGCACGAAAGCGUGGGUAGCAAACAGG
rnacentral:rRNA from 1 species